AUACAGUGUGACGAAAAGCUA
rnacentral:siRNA from 1 species